ACGAGAGGAACAGGCUCCCGCGGCCUCUGGUGUACCGGUCGUGAAUGCGCCGCCGGGUAGCCACGCCGUCACGGAUAAGAGCUGAAAGCAUCUAAGCUCGAAGCCGUUCUGAAAAAGAGAUUGCUAUUGGUGCGGAUAGAAGAUCCGCUUAAUAGGAGGGGGGUGUAAGCACCAAGCUUCGGCGAGGUGUUCAGCCCACCCUUACUAACUC
rnacentral:rRNA from 1 species